UGUAGUACAAAGUGCGAAUCUAUUCCAGUACUAUCUUCACAUUAAAAACAGUACACAAGUUAAUGAUGAGAGAGAGGGGUAGGUGCUUUUUCUGAUACCGAGGAGGACAUAAGCCCAAACAAACGAAACUACAAUUUAACUUCACGAGUAGGGGUUCAUGCAACAAAAUCAGGAGCUAAGUAUCCCAUUGCAGCACUAACUUUUUGAGCCGAGAAAAGAACAUCAUCUGCAACAAGCUUAGGUAGUCCUGCAUCCAUGAUCAAUGGGUUAAAUUGAUGGUCUAGGAGAACAUUUUCCACUGAAAUAUUCUGGUGAACUAUUGUAGAAGGAGAGAAGACACAAGAAUUUUUAUCUGUUGUUGCCUCUUCACAUAAUCCCCGUGCCAUCUUAAAUUUCAGAGUUUUGCUCAAGGAAACCUUUGUUGUGAGCCUGUUGAGGAACUCGUGACUAGUGUUAAUUCUUUAAGGUUUUGAUGGUUGUUUGUUAGAUCCAGAAACAAAGCUAAAAGGAAGGGGAAAAUGAUCUUUUAAUGAAGGUUUUUGACCCUAAAUUUGCCCAGACUAGCAUCUAGCUUGCUUGGGCAAAAGAGAAAACUUUAGCCCUAAGCAAGUCACUCGCCUGGGUGAGCUGAUACCUUCAGCCCUAAGCAAGCAGCUCGCCUAGGUGAGCUCCAACUCGUUUGGGCAAGUUUCCCUUGCACUAGAUGGCUUUUUCUAUAAAUAGCCAUGUAGGUGAAGAGAAGAACCAGAGAAAAAUGUAGAAAAAGAAGAAGAAUAAGAGAAAAAGUGGAACCGAGGCACUGCAGAGUUGUGACCGUGGAUCACUUCCUUCGUCAUUUCUCUUGUUAGUCUUGUACUCUGCACAAUGAUCGAUUAGUUUCUCUAAAGGAUUGGAUGUAAUCUUUGUACCCUAUGUAUCUCUUUUGAUAUUAUAUAUGUAUUAAUCUUUUCUACUCAUUAUUGGUAA